rnacentral:rRNA from 1 species
AUUGAACGCUGGCGGCAGGCCUAACACAUGCAAGUCGAGCGCGCGGCGGACGGGUGAGUAAUGUCUGGGAAACUGCCUGAUGGAGGGGGAUAACUACUGGAAACGGUAGCUAAUACCGCAUACCAUCAUAGGUGCCAAGAUGGGAUUGGCCAGUAGGUGGGGUAACGGCUCACCUAGGCGACGAUCCCUAGCUGGUCUGAGAGGAUGACCAGCCACACUGGAGCUGAGACACGGUCCAGACGCCUACGGGGGGCAGCAGUGGGGAAUAUUGCACAAUGGGCGCAAGCCUGUUGCAGCCAUGCCGCGUGAAUGAAGAAGGCCUUAGGGUUGUAAAGCACUUUCAGCGGGGAGGCGUUACCCGAAGAGGAAGCACCGGCUAACUCCGAGCCAGCAGCCGCGGUAAUAC